GGGAGCAGGGGUGGAUGCAGAGGGCUGGAGGCGAGGAGAGUGGAGGGGAGUCUCUGGACACUUGGCUCACUUACAGCUAAAAGCCCUGCGAGCUGGUUGUUAGUUUAUUUAAUCCAAGUGCCAUUUUCUUGGUCCUCUUCUCUUCGAAUUGCUGAAAGGAAGGAAGGAGAAAGAGUUAUCUGUAUGCGGCUAAAGCUCCUGCUGCAAACUCCAUCAGGAGUAGCACCCUGGGGAAGCGUCGGUCCAAGCGCCUCAGCCCAGCCAGGCAUGUCAUCCGCCAGUCGAUGCGAGAGCCUGGCUCCAAGCACCGACCAGGCAAACACAUUUGGGAGAUUUGCUGGAGGUUCAGCACCUGGGGGCUCAGCACCAAUUCCUGCUGCCAGAACCAGCAAGGAUGGCCAGGAGUGGAGGCAAGAUUUCAUCCUGCCCUCAAAACCACAGCCCUUUGGAUCAGACAGGCGGGAUGUCAUGGGAUUAUUUUUGCUCAGGGAGGGAGGCUUGCUUCUCCAAGAAUACCUCUGUCUUCCCACUGCUCAAGCUACACUCAUCUGAUCUUUCAGACACAUAAUCUAAGCGGCCCUGCAUCACUGGAGCCCAAUUUAAUGCCAAGCCAUGAAUUGAAGGAUCGGAAGUGCCCAGCCACAAUGAAAUCCUGUUCACACAUUAGGGAGUCCUGGCUGAGCAGCCCUAGAAAUUGAAACAAGGGGACUGGACUAAAUCAAUGCGAUUCGCCCAAAGGGCAGAGCCACUACUGAGAUGCACAAAACAGAGAAGGGCAGGAUCUCCCGUUGCCAUGCACCUAAGGAGCAGGAUGAGCCAUUCAAAAGUGCAGCCCGACCUUUUCUAGCCCAAAAGUCCUGAGUGCCAACUUCACUUCUUUUUAGCCUAGGGACAAGCUGUGGGAAGAUAAGGGGAGGAAACAAAAAGUGAAUAAAGGAAACAGAGAGUAAUGAUGGUCCUGGAAAGGGAAUUGGCUUUUAUACAAACCCUAGAGUGGAGCUGGACCAGCUGCACAUCCCUUCCUCGGCGUGGAACCACGAUAUAUUACUGCAACGUAGGUAUUCUUGGGAAAGAGAGGGCUUUGUCUAGACUGGUGCUCUCCUGGAGGAGUGUGUACAUAUGGGACCUCAUGGUGGAGAAAGAAGGGCAUCAGGUUGAACAUCUGUUGCAAGGGAAUGUAUUGUGCCACCCUUCUGCCUAGUGCUUUGUGGAUGAUCUCCCUCUCACAGGAGAAAUUGGUGAUGUGGAGCUCAAUCAUGUGCUCAUUUCAUGCUCUGUGUAGCAGCUCCAGAGCAGAGGGUGGCAGGGAGGAAGGGAGAUCAUGGUGCGGGGCACCAGCAUUGUGCUCAGAACCCCAGAGUUUGCUCAUGGGGCAAGACCCUACUUAGUGCAGGGGGAAAAGCAAGUUCCUGCACAGCUUGCAGUGUCUCCAUAGGAACAAAAGCACCUUGCAAACAUGGGCAAUGCCUCUCUUCUUCAAGCAGGGCGGUUCAUGCAAGAAGAUGAAGAAUGUUCAGAUUGGAUAUUAAGACAAAUUUAUUAAUGGAAAGGGUGGUGAAGCACUGGAACAGGCUGCCCAGGGCAGUGGUGGAGUCACCAUCCCUGGAGGGGUUUAAAAGAUGUGGAGAUUAGGUUCUUAGGUAUGUGGUUUAGUGCCAGAGUUAGGCUAUGUUUGGACUCAAUGAUCUUGAGAACCUCUGCCAACAUGAUUCUAUGAUUCUAUAAUGCAGCUACAAGGAAAUACCUCCUACCCCAGCGUGGGAUGCUCUUCUACUGCUCAGCACAGCAUCGCCUGCAGCUCUCCUCUGCUGCCAAACUACGACUGCAGUGUGGACCAUGGCUGGACUGUCAGGUGUGUACAAGGUCUGAGAUGCCCUAAGGCAGCAGAAAAGCUGAUGGAUGCUGCAGAAGCUGCAAUGGGGCUUGGAAAUCCAAGGCCUGUGGAAGACUCUGCAUUCCCUGGGAAUGCAGUGCUAUUCCUGCUCUUAACCAUGAUCCUACUGAUCCUAAGAGCCAAAGCUGGCUCUUUGAUGAAGGAAGCACAAGGAGCUUACCAAACAAAUUGUACAUGCGUGCACAUUCAUACCCCCCACUUUGGAAAAUGCUCUUCAAAGGAAUCCUCAGCUGAAUUUUUCCAACCCACAAUACCCUUGGAAAUUGCUCCUCUGCCUGAAGAGUUUGCAAACAAUAAUGUCUGGCCCUUGUUCAAAACAUCAACCAGAGCUAGUAGGAGAUGGUUCACCACAAGGCAGUCAGAAAGCAGACUAUCACAAUUCAGAUGUGGCUUGAUCAAAUUCAAGGCAGUAUAAGAUGUGAAACAGAUUACAGGCUGGAUCACAUAAGCCACAAACCACAUUAAAAGUAUAGGGACUACAAUAGAUAUUCUGCUCUCACACUUAAACAUGAUCCUGAACGAAAGGAUUUCCCGUGCCUCCAGCACUUCUUCCCCUAAAAAAGGAUUUCUGUCUCCAGAAAAUGCAAUCCAGUUGCAUGAAGCACCUCAGGUACUGUGAGCAUCUUUGCAUAACAAUGUCAUGUCAAACAAAUUCCUGCCUGCUCCUUGUCUACCGCCUGAUGUAUUGUGCCCCAAAAUGGUUUUGACUACCUGCCACCUCAGCAACACCCAAGGGCUAUGAAAUUACCAAAUUGCAGAGGCAGCUGUGAAAAUGAAAAGUAAAAUGGGUUGGGAGAAGGAGGGGAAAAGCCAAGCGAUCGGGUGCUGAUGUGCUGGGAGGAUGGAGGGAAGGACAAGGCCAGCUGGGGACAGGAUUUGUCCUCCACUUCCCAGAUGAGGGAUGAUGUCUCUCAAGUGCCAUACAAAUGAGCAAUGGUGUGGAAGGGCUUUCUAAUUAUUAAUGAUGGUUAAUCAGUUCAUUAACGUUGAUGGGCAGCACUUUGUAAGAGGGACGAUUUGCUCUCCUCCAGUGAGUAGAGCCCUCCCUUGUCUGCAGCCUCAUCGCUAGCUGUGGAUGUGUGUGUGGAGGGGUAGAAAGAGGAAUAAGAGGAUAUUUUGAUACUCAACGCCUGAUGCUGAGGCACCAUUAUGGUUCUGGCAGCACCCGCAUCCCCAUGGGUGCUGUGUCUGGUCCUUGGGAGAUGGGGAAUCAGCGCUCCCCAGCAGGUCUAGAGCAGAUGUAAUUAAAGCCUUCCCUGCCUGCCGCAGAGCAUAUGGGACAUGUUAGCAGAGUAAUUAAAUUUUGUGAAGUGAGUCUUUGCUGGGAAGCUGGAGGGUGGGUGGGUGGGAGGCAGGGGGAGCAGUAGCGCUGCCACACGCCACCUCGGGCCCUCGCACCAAAUUGCGCCUUGUGUGGCAAGCUGAGAUAAUAAUUAAGUGCUGGCUGAUUUGCAUUAUUUAUUGAGUUUGUACAUAUGAAAAAUAAAAUACUGAGGGAGCUGGUCAGCUGGUACAGAUGUUGCAGAUGAAAAAAGAAGAAAAAGAAGAAAAUUUGUGUGUGUGGGGGGAAUGAUGAGAAGGACUUCUGAGCAGAAAGGCAGAUGUGGGGGACUGGGAACAGAAGUGGCAGAGAAGAAGGGAAUGGGGAGAACAGAAAAGUCUAGUUCCUGCAGAUGUGUAAAAUACUUGUAGUGAACAGUAGAUUUGCCAAUUAGUGGAGUUGCAGGAGGAUGGAAAUUGCUCACGAAUUGGAGUCAUUUUUUCAUUGAGACAACCACAUCUCAAAAAUACUCCUGAGCCAAAAAAAGAAGUUAUUAGAUUGGUGUGGUGGAAAGUUCAUAAGGUUUCAGUGUUCUUUUCCCUUCACUUCUAUUUAGAAGUUAUAGACUGGAGACUCCCCAUGAGUCAUUACAGCUCCUGCAUUUAGCAUCAAUUCUUCCAAAAUAUGGUCUUCCCCAAGAGGUUUGUUCAUCUUUUGGAAACACUUCCCUUGUUAGUUUCUCUUGUCUCUGCUGUGUGCUUGGGAGGAUGGAGCUGCAGAUGUCACCAGGCUGCCGGUCAUUGCCCUUCUGUGCCAAAAAUGACGUGCAGCUGCCAGCACAUGAAGGAAACGUGGAUGGGAAGGAUGUGAUGGGGAGAACCAGCUGGGAUGGGGUGAUGUGGCACACGCGAUGCCUUUCCUCUAAAGAGGCAUGAGGUGGUGCUGCUUGAGGUGCCCACAUCUGCAGAGCUCCUCGUUUCUCCUUUGCUCGGUUUGGAUAGCAGAAACUUCAUUUACAAUUUGCUUUGCAACAUCCCAGCCUGGCAGCCGCAGCAGAGAGAGUGAGGGAGGGUGAGGAAGAAAUAUGUAACUAGGUCAGUCUGCUCCACAUUACAGCUUCAUCCUUUACCCAGGGAGGAGUUGUGGUCUUUGCCCGCCUCUUGCUGUUCCCAUUCAGUCACUUGAUGGGGUUUCUUGCUACUUUGAGCUUGCAACCUUCAGAUCAAGAAUUUUUCUUCUUUUUUUUUUUUUUUCUUCCUUAACUUGGCUUCCAUGUUCGACUCUGCUUCUUUCAACCUGUGUUCAGAGGUUCACAGUGGAAGAAACCUUUUGCUGUAUUUAAUUGUAAAAGUUCCUUCCCUAUAAAAGUCUUGGCAAACGGGGCUGGCUCAGUGGUUAGUGCUUUGCUCUCCUCCUUGCAGGGGCAAAGUUCAGUUACUUAGCGUCUGGCUGCUUGUUCUUUUGUCCAAGAAGGAGUUUUUGAUCACAGUAGGACUGGAUGGUUUGGCUUAUUCACAGCGGGGCUACAAUGCUGAUUGCCAUUAGGUCUCUUGUUCAAAUAUGGUUGGAUCGUUAGUGAAGUUUUAACCAUUUUGUGGCCGGUGUAUGAGGUGUUGAUGGCUCAGCCUGUUUGCUGGUGGGUGGAUGUGCCUAUUCUGUAAAUACAUCCACCCAAGGAGCACCAGGUGAUUUUUUCGUUCCCCUCUUUGCAUCCCACCAUGUUUCUGCUAUUCGCCAAGAUACGCGUGGAGUGGACAUGGUCAAACCCACGCAGAUGUCCUCAAAGGCAGUGGGAUGCAGACAGGGAAUGUGUGCAUCCAGAUGUGGAGAGCAUCCUGUAUCCCUUAUCCCUCAGCACAUUCCCCUCUGGGCAGACGAGCAGAGCUGUCCUACUGCAAACCUUUCCCACCUCCCUUAUGUCAAGCCCUGCAACACCUCAGGUAUCCCCCUCAGCUGCCCACCUUCCCUUCUUGGUGGAAAUCCUCCCUGAUGCCUUCCUGUGUUGUCCCCCUCUUCUUCUGCCCCUCUGGAGGGACAAAGUCACCCAGCGAGCUUCAGAGAUACUGCUGGCUUGGUAUCGUUAAUACUAUCAGUAUGAAAGUAAACAGAGAUGGCACAUAUGGGCCAUUAGUAAGCGGCAUGUUAAUUAUGGUGAGGUGCUGCAUUACUCACUCUGGGCUAGAUCCUGCCCUCUGGCAAGUGGCACUGUCACCGCGCUGUCCUCCCUGCGGAGGGGGGGCUGGAGAUGGUGCCAGGCGUGGGAGCGCCGUGGGCAAAGCAUGUCCUUAUGUCACUUUGUAUAAAUACCUGUGCACGAAAGUGGGUUUUUUCCAUGCAGACUGGGUUCUGAGAGAAAAAGGCAGUGAAAGUUGGGGUGAGGCACCAGGGAUCAUCUGGAAAAGGGGGCUCUGCUCCUCAAACGUUAUUUUCUCUUGUUCUUAAUGAAUCUUGUGCAACCCCGGCUCAGACAGUAUUUGCAAACCUCGGGGAGAAAAAAGAUUUAAAACCAACAACAACAGAAGAGCAUUAGCAGGAAAUAAUCUCAUCAGCCCCAACUCUCCAGCAGCGCUGGAGACAGGAAAAUGAUGCCUUUUUAUUAGCCUUAUUGUCUUUAAUUAAAGCAUUCAGCAGAACCCUCUGAUAAUGGACUGCAAGUGAGGUCGGCAGCAUUUGUAAUAACACAAUACAGGGUUCAAUUAAGUUGUACUUUGGUAGCUUUUCAUCUCCAGUUUAAACAAGCUAGUGAUAUAUACAGAAUGAUUACCUUUUCAGGCUGGGGGAGAGGGGGGGCAACAGGGGCUUGGGAAGACAAAUCACUUGUUGCUGUAUAAUUAAUGCUAUAAAAACAGUCAAUUUCCCUACAGCAUUUUCCUGUGUUCAGCCAGUUUGUGGGGUACCCCAUCACCCCCACCUCGACUGACUGCAUGUAAUUUGGCUCCUAUACUGCAGCCAUUAGGUCUGGUGUUCUAUAUCACAUUUUCCUGUUGUUAUGGGUAACCACUGCAGGUUUCCUAAACCUGAACCUUUAAAAAAAUAUAUAUUCUUGAUGGUUGAACUCCAAAUAAACAAGAGGAUCAGAGACAGUAGAAGAAAAGAUCAGAGGUCCAGGUAUAACCAUUUGAGUUGAAAGACUGCGGAUGAUUGGCAAGCAGCUGAUAUUUGCUGCUCCUUCUUUCCCCUGCUCUUUUGAAUUAUUGGUCAUAAAACACUCUGCAGUUGCACUCUUGCUGUGUCAGAGAGAGAGAGAGAAGCCAAGAAAAGAUCCACAUGGCUAACACUUAACUUUAUCUUCACCGUUAAGUAAUGCUAAAUUAGAAUGAAAUCGCGCUGGUAAUACAGGUGACAGCUAUAUGAAGGCCAAAUGAAUUCCCUAUGAUCAGUGCCAUUAAAAGGAGCACGUUGGCAGAAUUCAUGAUGAUGGGACACUUACUGUGCGUAUAACUCAUGUGCGCACAGGAAGCUCAGGGUGAGUCUGGCUGGUGUUUUAUGUCAGGCUUUAAAAAAAAAAUAAAUAAAAAUGUGGCUUUAAAAGCUUCUGUUCAGGUUCUCAUCUCUCCAGCCCUGAUGUAAAUUUGCGAUAACUUAAUUGCACUGCUAAACCGCUGUGGGGGAGAGGAAGAGACGCGAAUGGAAAACAAGGACUUUACUGAGGCUUCUGGUCAGAGACGCUGAGCCCAUCCAUCUCUCACAUUGAUGUUAAAAUAAAAACAGGGAGAUUCAGGCUAAACAUGAAGAGGAAAUUUUUGCCCCUGAGGGUGGUGAGAGCCUGGCCCAGGUUGGCCAGAGAGGUGGUGGAUGAACCAUCCCUGGAGACAUCCCAGGCCAGGCUGGACGGGGCUCUGAGCAACCUGAGCUGGUGAAGAUGUCCCUGCUCAUGGCAGGGGGGGCACUGGGGGAGCUGGGAAGGUCCCUUCAACCCAAACUAAUCUGUGAUUCUAUUACAAACUCAGUAGUUUUUCGACAGCAGUCUGUGUCUACACCGCUUUAGCACGUGGUUUUUGCUCUCCAGGAUGCUGUGGCCUGCAGGGAUGGUGUUAAUCUCUCCAUGUUUAUUAGGCAAGAAGGUGCUACGGGGAAGGUAAAACCCAGGUCCCCUUCCCCUGUGAUGACUGUCAUUCUGUGAUACCCCAUGCUGGCACACUUUGUCACGCAAGGGCUCUACCCUGUGUGUAUGAGCAAAAAUUGCAGUUUGAGAUAAUUACCUUCUGCCUCCUUACAGCCCGGUUGUACCUGGAUACAGUUUGUGUGUUUUUACUGUCUCUCAUGUAGUGCAGCUAUGCGCUGUUAAACAGCUGUUCUGCUCCACCCUAGAAAAAUAGCUUCAAUAAAGUGCAUUUGCCAUACAGGUCAUAUAUUGGUUAAUUCAUCCUUUUGGGAGAACUUCCAGACAGGAAAUGUGGAGACAGAGGAAAUUGUCCCAGCAGAGCACAACAACUGUUAAAUUAAAUCCAACCCUGGCUCCCACUACCUGCCAUUGUUACUGAAAUAAAAAGAGAAAGCAAAGGGCUGAGCUUCGUCCGGGCUGUGUCACCGCCGCUGCCGAGUGCUCCAUCUCGUGGGGGACCUGUCAAUGCUUUUUUUCCUGGAGAAGACCGCAUCAAAACUUGGUCAGGAACCCUGAUCUCUGGAAAAGAAGAUAAAAAACAUUGAAGAGUAAUAAAUGAGACUCUAAGUCAAACCCCUCAGACUACAUCUAAAGACAGUUUACUCAUCUAUAUUCCCAGAGGAAAGCAGGAGGGCUGCAUAAAUGGUAGAAGGAAGGGAGUUAUAAACUGAAUAAAUAACCUUUGCAAAAAGGGGAUCCAGCCCAGGAAAGCCAUGAGGAAGGAGCACAGACCUUGGCAGGGCUGGCACAGAUGCAGGAGUUCUCUGCGCUCCUUGCAAUGUGGGAUUAGGCAAGAGAAUACCCUGGCUGAAAAUUUGACACACCCCGUAGUUUUCGUGGGCAGUUGCAGAAGAACCCCUGGCUGCCGACGCCGACUCCCGCGGUCCAGGCUGGGGGCUCAUCCUUGUGGAAGAAAGACCGGGACACCCACCUCAGCUCCUCAAAACGCUUGACUGGGGCAUCGAAGUGGACUCAAUACAAACCUGAGCGUUUCACUAGCCAAGUUUUCCACUCGGGAGGAGAAGCUACGGCUGUAUUGACCUUAAUGUGAAAUUAAAGUAAUUUAAGCAGGAAACCACCAACCCUGUGGCUUGGGAUAGCCUACCUGGCAGCCACCUCCGUCUCAAGAUGUCCUGGUCCCUCCAAGGCCGAUGCUCAGUUGGAUCAAAGGCUGGAAGGACAGGACCUGAGCUGAUGGGCACAAAGUGGAGCAGAAAAAGCAAAGUGAAGAGUCUCAAAUGCCAGACACAAGGUGAAACUCGAGUUGAAGCUGUGGAAUGACUAACAGAGACUUCACAGAACAUGUGUUCUGAAAGCCUGUAGCCGUGUCAUCUUCAAGCUGUCAUUUCAUGGGGACACUGCAAGUGAGGUACAGCCAGCCUGGUUUGGGAUUGCAUAGGAGACAUUCAAGACACUACAAGUAAUUCAGCUGAUGUUACAACUGCCCUGGAGGCAAGGCUGACUUCGGACCCAGCGCUCCGUGAAGGUUUAAGGGGAUGCUGAGCAAUCUGGUGGAUGAUGCACAACCAUGGAAGAUGCUGGGAAGCAUCUGCUGGGGGCUGCGUUUUUAAGUCCAGCCAAGUUGUGCCAGUGAUCCCUUUGGAUAUGUGUCACGAGCUGUAAGAGGUCUGAAGGGAUUAGUGAGCCUCUGUGGCAUGGUGGGAGAGAUGGACACGCCAGGCAAGCUGCGAUGCCUCUUGCACCACCACAAUGGGCAGGAUGCUUCUCCAGGAGCGAGGAUUUAUUCGGGUGCACUUCAUGGCCCUUCCACACUCACAAGGAAGUGUGAAUGGAAGAAGCGAUAGCCCUGGGUGAGCUGCUGAUGAACGUGGAGCACGUGUUACGUUCCCUCUGAGACUGCGAAGGAAAUCACAACUUUUAAUUAGGAUAUAAAACAUGGCCUUAAGAGCUCAUACGAGUGGAGGGAACUCCGCGUGAAGGAUGGGGAGCCAGCUGCGAGCGUUUCCCAGCUGCUCAGCCCGGGGGCUUUCCCCUGCGAGCUGGUUUUGCAGUUCCCCCAGGGACUGACGGAGGAAACAUCUCUUGAAGCACUGCAGGAGGAUGGAGCUGCUCUCACUCACCUGAGGGUGAUGUGCACAAGAUACACUGUGAUGUGUCCUUUUCAAGCUGCAGCCGACUACAUUGAAAUCUUGACUGACACCUCUUAUCUGAUAGGGGCCGCUUUUCCGCUGGCUGCUCUUUAGAGUGAUAAAUGUCAGGAGUUUGGGAGUUUGCGUGUAUCUAGGCGCUCCAUCUGAGACUUUGGGCAGCUUUAGCUGCUCUGAGAAAAGAAUAGCAACGUGGGGUGUGGGAAGCGAUUCAAUGUCAUGUCCUGCAUGUCAUGGAGGUCUGAGGCACAGGAAGGAGGAGGACACGUGACCUGAGAGGCUCUGCCCUUGACAGUCAGCAAGACCUUCACAUUCCUUCAGGAGCUUUCUUCAAGUCCCUGUGUCCAGCUGGUCCCUCUUCAGAGCCUUUGCAACAAGUAUGAAUCAGAAAGUGCUUUUGGAGGUGAUGUUGGAUAAACCUUUUCCCGGCAACUAACAGACUGAAUGGCUCAGUUUGCAGUGCCAAGUCCACGAUCCUCAGGAAGAUUGUUUCUUUUGGAUCCCAUGCCUCCAGGCAUUACGAUUUUGGUUUUGUGACUAGCAUUCAUCUGAUAUAUCAUUUAAUCAGACAGAUGGAUAAAGAGCUUAAGAACCUAUCCAAUGGAAAGGAAAAUGGAAAGGCUUCUCAGAGUCACAAAAAAUAAAUCACCUCCAUUGACUUUCUCUCCUUUGCUCCUCUCUGUCCAAAAGAGGCAAACAGUAUUCAAAGAGCACUCGAUAUUUAAAAGCUUUGGGUAUAUGUCAUGAGUACCCCCACUGCAAGAAUAGGUUGUUCCUUCUUGUCUUAGUCAAGUCAUGAUUUCUGGCACUGGGAGCUACAUUAUAAGUCCCCAGUGAAUGGGACCAUUAAUGAAACUACCCAAGGAAAGGAGAGUUGCAGAAAGAUCAGAGCAGCCAAACCGGAGUAUGAGGUGGAACCCAACCACACAGGGCCUGCCCUCCUGGAUUGCUUAUUUCUCCUCUCCCUUUCUACCAUAAAUCUCAGUAUCUGCUGUGGGGAAAGCAGCUGCAUAAAAUAUUUGCUGAGCCAUCCCCUCAUUAAAGUGUUUCACUGGCAAAGAAACACUUUUCUCUCGCUGUUGCAUAUUUACAGUUUGGAGAUUGCUUGUUAGGACAACCUGAGGUUGUGAUUUUUUUAGCUGUGCUGGUUUCAGAUGUCAGAAGAAGACACUUGGUUAAUAACCCACUGUUACUGCCAUGAACUGUAGUGCCAUGCAUUUGGGAAGCAGCCGGCAGCCCCUCUCCUCAUAAAGAAAAACACAGGGCCAGCUCUGUGUAAAAUCACCUCCCUUUGAUAGGAUUAAUUGCAGGAAUGCCACCAACUUGUCAUUAAAUUCAGCAAAUGCAUUUGGAGCAAGGGAUAAAUCACCCCAAGAGCCAAUGGCUCAUUCGGACAAAUGUGCCCUGCAGAGACCUGCUGUCACAGCCCUCCUCCAUCGGCUUGUCUGUCACUUUUACUUCUUUUCCCCACUAAUGCAGUGGCUUUGGUCAGAAAGGUGCCAGCUUUAAAACAACAGCCUCAAAAAUGACCAGGAAAGCAAAAAAUUACCCAUCCCUCCCGCCACACUAUCACCAGCCAGGCCAUCGACUUUCACAGAGCUCCUAUCUGCUCCCUGCACACUUCUCCGGUGUUGUAUCUGCUCCCGUCGCUGAUAAGACCCCGUUCAUCUAUUGUCAGCCCUGCUGAGCCAAUCUAGCUGCAUUCGAGCGAGCUGGAUUUUGUUCUGCAUCACGUAUCAAUGACAACUUCCAGCGACCGCCUUGCUUUAUAAACCUUGCCUGGUGAGGGUGAGUGGAGCCCCAAGAGAGAGGCGGAACUCUAAGCACAAAGGGAAUUCAAAGCAGCUCGGAAACAGGCGUUGAAAAUAGAGCAAAUAUGUUGUGGAUGCUAUCGGGAGAGACCAGAUAAACAUGGGAUACUAAGAUAGCCGUGGGCUAGACUGUUGUACAGUGCGGUACCCGGAACAGGAGUGUCAGUGGGUGCAAAACGCAGUGGUAUGUCUGCUAUGAAAGCAGAAAAGGGAUGAUUUGUGAUUAAGGCAAAGCAGUGAUGCUGAGUGGCUGGAGUCUGGUGUCAUUGAUCUCAGCUCUGGGCUCCCUUUCUUGCAGCAUUCACCAGUUGUCUUGACCAGAGAUUUUGCAAAGAGGUGUUGAAGGCAGUUGGGAGUGCAGGGAAGUGACAGGGUCCCAUAGCUGGACCUUUGUAGCUCUUUGGAAAUGUCCCCCGGUGAUGUGACAGUUCGUGGGUUCGGGAACAGAAGGGACUUGCCUGUUGCGUUGUGGAUAGAUGGUCUCUAAGCAGGGCUGCAUUGCAGAUGAGGCCUCAAAAAGCUACUGUAAUUUGAAUAAUAUAUAAAAUGUAGACUUCAACUAUGGUUUUAUAUACAGGAUGACACAUUUUAAGAUCAAAUUACUUUGAUACUCUUGACUCAGGAGAGUCAAGAUGCAGGGAAAAUUGCAUAGGUGCCUUGUGGGGAUGAAACCACUCAAGCUGCAGUUUUUGUGUAUUUUGCCUUUAAUGAACCUGCCAUUUUAUGAGUCAGCACUGAUGGGAAAUGCGAUGGUUGUCUUUUGGGAACACCUUACACUUCGUCUCCGCCUGCCAAGAUGUCACCUCCUUGCUCUUCGCUUUCUUUGACUGCCAUGCUUGUCUCCAGCCCUUUUAGACUUUCCCUGCUCAAAAGAUUAACCCCACAGUCUCAUGCUGGAUAACUUACUUGAGCUGAAGAGAAACAGCAGCACAAGACAGAUAAGAAAGUAAUUGUACCCUGAGGAAGCAUGAGGAGUGUCUGCAUCAUAUACACUUGCUUUACAAAACAGCAGCUACUUAUGCAAAGCAAGUGGCCUUUUAAAUCUAAGACAGGGUACAGGGAAAAGCCAUCUUGGUGGUUACCUCAUUAGGCCUCUGUCAUGGCUACUGGGAGCAGUCUCUAUCCUAUCCUGUCCUUAAUUUAGUUUUCCACCAUCAAAGACAUUGCAUCUCGCUGAUUGCCUGCACUAUGUUGUGGCCCUAUUUCUGGAUUAUGACAGACAGAUUGUGAAAAUAUAAUGUGAGAAGCUUGAGGGGGAGGGAAAGGAUGGUUUGGAUCAGGCAUCUCAGGGUGAGGAGCUGGUGGAAGAUCCAAGGUGGGGUUUAGACCUUGUCUAAGCUUGCUUCCCCGAAGACAUCUCCCAAGGCUGCCCAAAGGAAUCAGACAUUUUGUUUCCAGGCAUUUUAAUAUGAAAGCCUUCAAGCUAAACAUCACCAAAAGUGGCUCACUGGGCACUCCUAGAGAUCAGAUGCACCCACAGCUUGUGCUGAUGUCCCUCAGUCUUGCUCCAGAAGGGCCAUGUUCGCACAGAGAAGUAUUAUGGACACUCAGGAAAAAAAAAGGAUUAGACAACAUCAUAGAGGAAAAUCCAUCAAGCUUUAAUAACAACAGAGAGUCAUCAUUUCAAGUGGGAAAUACCAAGCCUGAGCUCUGUGGUAGCAGGUAGAAUACACAGCAAAGCAGCCUCAAUAUCCUCACCCUGUCUGUGCCCUUUCCUUGAUGCUACCAGAAACAGGACAGCAGGCUGGAUGGAUGUUGGGCUUUGCUCACUGCGAAUGUUCUUCUCUUCUUUCAACCUCAAAAUUCAAAACACACAGAAAUCUCUGACUUGAUUCACACGAGUGUCUUUCAGGUGGGAAAAGCUUUCAAUUGCUUCCAGCCUGGGGCCAGAGCAGUCCCAGUGACCAUGAAGUGGAAGGCUCCACAUCCCAUAUUACCCACUCACUACAGUCUUGUUCUCUCUUCUUUUCCUUGCCUUGACUUUGGUUUUCUCUUUUUCAGGCUCUAAUGAAGCACAAGUAUCCGGAAGGAAGGCAUGCCAGGGGUGACAGGGAAAUGUCCUUCUGAUCUCUCCUCUUGAAGGAAGAUUUGGAACAUUUUAAUAAAGUGGAUUAAGAACUCGGACACAAAAGUAACCUGUUUCUCUGUGACAGGUGCUUUAAUCUUCUCCCCAAGCUGCUGAUAAAGACUUUCCUUAGAGAAACCUCCUGAACACAAAAGGGAAAAUAAAAGAAUGGGAGAAUAGACUGAGAGGUGCAAAUGUUUAAAGGCACCCCCAAAAAUGAAGCUGCUCGUGUGUUAAUUGUGUUCUCCUUUCACAGAGCCUGUUUUCCUCUUUGGUUUCUGAUUUUGGAUCAAUGCUAGAGGCUGCAAAGCUGAACCAAGGAAGCUGAAGCUUUGCCCAGAUGGGGAACCCCACUGUUCCAUGAACAUGACGUGAGAAGGAAAUCUGAGCAAGCUGAGUCGAUUGGUCCGACGUGUUACAUGGAGAUUUCAACCUUUCUCCCACCUCCGCCGUUUUAGUUUGAACUUUUUGUUGCUUUAAUCCUUGAUGGUGACAUCUGGUCUUCACCCAUCAAUGAGAACUAGAGCUCAGCAGUUGCUUCUGUGCCUAGCUACACCGAGACACAGCAGAAACUCCUUCUGCACGAGCCCGGGGUGAUCUCUCAGAAAGGUGCCAACCCGUGAGGAUGGGCUGUCUGAAUUGUUUCGUUAUUUCCCAGCCAAGAGUCCAGCAAGGACAGCAACUGCGGUGACACCGACACUCGUUCCACUGGGACCCAAGCCAAGACUGGCUCCUUAUUACACAGAAGUCAUUGAGCUGUUGCCAGAGGCUAACGAAUGGUGGUCAGUGGUGAACUGACACUCCUCUGACCUCACGAUCCCAAGGCGAACAGGCCCAUUUAUCCAGACCCCACUAGUGCCAAUCAGCUCUUCUACGUUCACCUUCAAUCGGAGCUGGCUAGGAUGGGAGUUUGUUAGUGCUUUUUCUGAAAUUGGUUGGAUGCACGCUCACAAAGAAAACACUUGCCUUCACCUCUUGCUUGCUCCUUCUGAUUUUUCACAAGACACAAGUAGAACAUGACCUGCUGACAAACAUCCUGAAGAUGGAGUGUAAAAGAAGACCACAUCUUCCUAUAUGACAGGCUGCUGUUAUACUGUACUAGGUGUCAUGACCUUGGAAGCAGCCUACGGGGCAAAGUGUUUUGUCAGCAAAGUAAAUCUUGGUUAAGCCGUAUUACAAUCCUGAGACAGUGAGACAAUCUACAACAGCUUUGAUGAGUGAGUAACAACAAUGGGGUAGUGUGAAGUGUUCAUUAGUCCCCAUGGGUUACCUGGGGCUUUGCAAAACCCCUUCAGAGGGAUUUUUACUGUUCAUGUGUGUGUGGAGAGGCUAAAACAUGGGUGGGCUGGGGGUGGAAGAGGCUUAGGAGCAUCAUCGUUGUCCUCUGCCUUACUUCAACAGACUCCAGCCUUUUCGUGUGGUUCACAACUGUCUCCUCUCCCCUCAGUUGUCACUGCCCUGUUAUGCGGAUAAAAAUCUCUGCUCUGAGAUUUUGCCAAAGCAAGUCAGCUUGUGUUUACACGUGGCCACAUGUGGGACCAACAUCUGCAGGUGGAGUUGGGCAUGCAUGUGGAUGCAGGUGGUUCGUGGUGUGAUUGGAAGGAUGGGAGUGUGCACUAAAACAGCGGGGCUCACCCCCAUGGCCCCUUUGUAAUGCAUUCGUCAGUCAAAACUCCCUGGCCUAUACUUGUGACAUAAUGAUUGUCUCCACAGCAACCAAUUACAAUUAUAUAAAUAAAUACUUACGACAUUAUUGCACUGCAUAGAGGAGAGAUGGAGAGUGAUGAACAACCUGCUGGGUCUUGGGUGGGGGAAGAAUAGUUGUGCCAAUAGUCAAAGAUAACUCUAGCCACUCAUGAAGGGAGUGAUGACCCUAAAUUAUCUACAAACAAAUGGUAUUGUUUAAGAUUCUUUUUUCUUAAUAGUAAUCAUUACAAAGAAGAUCUCCCAUCCAGUCUCCAGAUAGUUCUCCUGAGGAAGCACCUUAUGGCCCAGAUGGCAUUGUUCGAACUUGCACAUCAAACCCAAGUUGCUCAUUCCUUGCUGGGCUGACACCAAAAGCUGCCCUAAGCUGAUGGCAGAAAUUGCUCCACAGCCCUGUUGCUUCGUGGCUGCACAAUGCCCUGGUGUCUGAGACCUUCUGUUUAAACCUCAGCUUUACCAUCUUUCCUGGAGAGCUGAAUUUUGUCUUGGUGAAAGCGACAUAGCUCCGUGGAAAUGCGAGAGCUCCAAGGGCUGUGCUGAUUCA